rnacentral:rRNA from 1 species
AUUGAACGCUGGCGGCAGGCCUAACACAUGCAAGUCGAACGAGUGGCGGACGGGUGAGUAAUGUCUGGGAAACUGCCUGAUGGAGGGGGAUAACUACUGGAAACGGUAGCUAAUACCGCAUACCAUCGGAUGUGCCCAGAUGGGAUUAGCUAGUAGGUGGGGUAACGGCUCACCUAGGCGACGAUCCCGAGCUGGUCUGAGAGGAUGACCAGCCACACUGGCACUUAGACACGGUCCAGACUCCUACGGGAGGCAGCAGUGGGGAAUAUUGCACAAUGGGCGCAAGCCGUACGCAGACAUGCCGCGUGGAUGAAGAAGGCCUUCGGUGUGUAAAGUACUUUCAGCGGGGAGGCGUUACCCGCAGAAGAAGCACCGGCUAACUCCGUGCCAGCCGCCGCGGUAAUUC